GAUGAACGCUAGCUACAGGCUUAACACAUGCAAGUCGAGGGGCAGCAUUAGGUAGCAAUACUGAGAUGGCGACCGGCGCACGGGUGCGUAACGCGUAUCCAACCUUCCCGUUACUCUUGGAUAGCCUUCCGAAAGGGAGAUUAAUACAAGAUGGUGUUGAAAUUCCGCAUGUUAUUUCAACUAAAGAUUUAUCGGUAACGGAUGGGGAUGCGUGACAUUAGAUAGUAGGCGGGGUAACGGCCCACCUAGUCUACGAUGUCUAGGGGUUCUGAGAGGAAGGUCCCCCACACUGGAACUGAGACACGGCCCAGACUCCUACGGGAGGCAGCAGUGGGGAAUAUUGGGCAAUGGGGGAAACCCUGACCCAGCAACGCCGCGUGAAGGAAGAAGG
rnacentral:rRNA from 1 species